AUGGGCUGCAGGCUCCUCUGCUGUGUGGUCUUCUGCCUCCUCCAAGCAGGUCCCUUGGACACAGCUGUUUCCCAGACUCCAAAAUACCUGGUCACACAGAUGGGAAACGACAAGUCCAUUAAAUGUGAACAAAAUCUGGGCCAUGAUACUAUGUAUUGGUAUAAACAGGACUCUAAGAAAUUUCUGAAGAUAAUGUUUAGCUACAAUAAUAAGGAGCUCAUUAUAAAUGAAACAGUUCCAAAUCGCUUCUCACCUAAAUCUCCAGACAAAGCUCACUUAAAUCUUCACAUCAAUUCCCUGGAGCUUGGUGACUCUGCUGUGUAUUUCUGUGCCAGCAGCCAAGA